UACAGAGGUCUCAAGCGUUGUUCGGAUUCAUUGGGCGUAAAGGGUGCGUAGGCGGCGCGGUAAGUCGGGUGUGAAAUCUCGGAGCUUAACUCCGAAACUGCAUUCGAUACUGCCGUGCUUGAGGACUGGAGAGGAGACUGGAAUUUACGGUGUAGCGGUGAAAUGCGUAGAUAUCGGGAGGAAUACCAGUGGCGAAGGCGGCCUUCUGGACGGAUACUGACGCUGAGGCGCGAAAGCCAGGGGAGCAAAGCGGG
rnacentral:rRNA from 1 species